rnacentral:lncRNA from 1 species
GAGGAAGAUGAGCUUUUAAGAGAGGACAUGUAGACUGUUCCCACCACCCGAACCCAUGACAAAAUGGGGAAGGAGGGAAUAAUGGUAUAAAAGGAAAAGAGACUGUAGAGGAGUCCAGUCCAAGAGUAGAGGAGGGGGGCGGAGGUGCAGAGGGCCAAUCGGAGUCCGACGGACAGAGACAUCGCCUUGAAUGCCCAUUUACUCUGACAGGCAGCCACCGGCCACAGGGCAGAGAAAUGGAAAAGGAGAGGAGGAAAAAGAGAACCCGAUGUUCUUCACUGUAGAGGGUCUUUUAAGAUGCCCGUGGCAUUUCCAGUAGCAAUCAAUGAUGGGAGGAGGAUGGUGAGCAUUUUCCUUCAAAAUUUCAGCAUAUUCUUCUUACCAUGGAGAAUCACGAGUUUUGCAUCGGAUUAACCUUAUCCUGAUACACACACAACACAGGUAGUGUUGUUGAUGAUGGGAGCAACGACAGAAUUCAUGAUGGGGAUCAACUACCGCUGGUAUGCUUGGAACAUAGUGUGGCUGACUUGGGUUGGUCAUAUACACUGGAAAGAUACAAGGGGGAACCUGUUGCAGGGGACAGAAACAAGGAGUGUUAAGAUCUGGGAAAAAAGAUUUGGUGGUGCGUUGAACAAGGAAGCAGCAUGAUUGGAUUGGGAAGGACAGUCCAUGUUCCUGUGUGGCUGCCUGGCUAGCUGGCUGGCUGGCUGGCUGGUUGCGGAGGAUGCCACUUCCCCCUUCCCUACAUUGCUGCCAUCGGAGGAUAUGUUGCUUUCCCCAUUUCGGCUUUUGGCUGCCGCAUCAAAAUUUCCUCAAAAAAUGGUUGUCAGAGAACUAGUGAUUUCUCCAGGUCGAGAGCAAUUGAAUGGACGCUGACACAUAGUUUAACCUCAGCAAGGAACUGUUCAU